rnacentral:rRNA from 1 species
UACGUAGGGGGCGAGCGUUGUCCGGAUUUAUUGGGCGUAAAGAGCUCGUAGGCGGCUUGGCAAGUCGGGUGUGAAACCUCCAGGCUCAACCUGGAGACGCCACUCGAUACUGCCAUGGCUAGAGUCCGGUAGGGGACCACGGAAUUCCUGGUGUAGCGGUGAAAUGCGCAGAUAUCAGGAGGAACACCGAUGGCGAAGGCAGUUCUCUGGGCCGUAACUGACGCUGAGGAGCGAAAGCGUGGGGAGCGAACAGG